AGCAGCCGCGGUAAUUCCAGCUCCAAUAGCGUAUAUUAAAGUUGUUGCAGUUAAAAAGCUCGUAGUUGAAUUUCGGGGUCAGUAGGUUGGUCGUGCCACUGGUAUGCACUGGUCUCACUGAUUCCUCCUUCCUGAUGAACCGUAAUGCCAUUAAUUUGGUGUUGCGGGGAAUCUGGACUGUUACUUUGAAAAAUUAGAGUGUUUAAAGCAGGCUAACGCUUGAAUACAUUAGCAUGGAAUAAUGAAAUAGGACGAUCGAUCCUAUUUUGUUGGUUUCUAGGAUUGACGUAAUGAUUAAUAGGGAUAGUUGGGGGCAUUAGUAUUCAAUUGUCAGAGGUGAAAUUCUUGGAUUUAUUGAAGACUAACUACUGCGAAAGCAUUUGCCAAGGAUGUUUUCAUUAAUCAAGAACGAAAGUUAGGGGAUCGAAGACGAUCAGAUACCGUCGUAGUCUUAACCAUAAACUAUGCCGACUAGGGAUCGGAUGAUGUUAAUUUUUAUGA
rnacentral:rRNA from 1 species